rnacentral:tRNA from 1 species
GCACCCGUAGCUCAGCUGGAUAGAGCACUGCCCUCCGAAGGCAGGGGUCACACGUUCGAAUCGUGUCGGGUGCACCA